rnacentral:rRNA from 1 species
UAUCGGCGUCUCCACAUUUCACAAACCCCGAUCGCUAGCACUCAAUGAUCGAGUCGAGUGGCGGACAGGUCUCUCUCUCUCUCUUCUCUCUCUCUCUCUCUCUCUCUCUCUCUCUCUCUCUCUACACCUCCGACUUCCACAGGCUCCCGCCGCCGGGCACCAACGCCAGCCACUUGUUGAAGGAGCCGUCCCGUCACACCCUCAAGCUGGGGCUGAUGCCGUGCGGCCUCCUCGCGCGGCUCCACCUCUCCCACGCGGCCCUCAAGUGCCUGGCGGCAAAGCUCUUCUUCCUCAGCGUCCUAGAAGACUACGCGUACGUCAUACGUUUUCAUUUCGUAGAAGUCCACCUGGAAGGUCGGUAGUUCGAACGUCUGUCACGUGUUCAGUGUCUUCUCUGAAAUGAUUGUAGUAACUCCGCUACGGAAUCGGUCGUAAGACGAGAUGUUCGUGUACUACCCGUAACCCGGCCCCUGAAGUCACCUUAAAACAAGUAAUACGGGUAGAACUAUAAACGAGAUGUACAAUGACCUAGUGAGUUAUGACAGGAUAGUUGUCUUGUAGCUGUACUCUAAACAGCGAUAUAAAUGUUGGUAGUCUUACUUCUACCACCAACCCCGUGCGUUCACGACCCAGGCUCGUGGUACAAACCUAGUACGAAUUUGAUACAAUGGAAUUCCGAAGAACCGCUCCACCUUUUACUACGGAAUUGGUUCCCUGUACGAACCUAAGAUAACGCGCCUUCACGUUGACGUUAUGGUGUUACCCCUUUCUAUACCGAGAGCCACCAACCAAAUAUACUUACCAGACCUUUAUUAAGCUAGUAAGGACUCAAUACCGAACAGGGCGUAAAAGAAGGCUAAGUAGGUCCUGCUAAGACCACGAAAACGGCCAACCAAAUAUACGGUUACAGAAUAGAAAUGCCAUUCUUCAAACAACCGGGUUAAUGUGGUUGUUAUCACCGUUAUUCUCUCCUCGAGAUAUCACAAAGUAUGUCGCUCUAACUAACCUUGUUUCGUGCACUAUGAACACGAUUCCUUCUGGAAGCGAUAGGUGCCAGCAACGACGUUUUACAAUAAACCUGAACAGAAUUAUUUAAACAUCUCGGUCACAACUUAACAACCGGUUAGUUAUUCAACUCUCUAUGUCGCGACUUCUUGGAGUACUUUGUAUAUGUAAUACUUCUACUUUCGUGAUUUAUGUAACCGCAUACAGGCUAAUUGUUCCGUGAUCUAUACUAAACAACAACCUCGCUCCUAGGUUUAAGUCUACGUGACUUCAACGUAGAAGGUUCCUAGAUACUGAUAAAUACCGAACGUCUUCUACCGUACUUUCGUGUCCAAAUACUACCAACAGUUUCGACCCUCGAACGAAAAUAACAAGUUCGUAUAACGAGCUGUCUGGAACAGUUACUCAAACCAGGUUGUGAAGCCUUUCGGGUACUCAAGUAAUUUUCAAGUGUCCAAGAACUCUUGGUAGGAUUGUCACUUCGAAUAAUGGCGGUAUCCAGUUUUCCAAGUACCUGUGAAAGUUGUCGCCUAUUGCCCACCAGACAUAGUCUAACAUGACGUCUUCGUGAAUUCCGUAACAACAACAACAGCUUCUAGAGAGGAUUAGAACACCCCCCAGGGUACUUUCCUCUUUCCAACGUACUACGUCAGCUAACGAAUGAAAGAAAAUACUUAUUUCUACCGUGUAAAAGAUGUAUACUCACAUUCUCUUGAUGUAGAGAUAAUCUCCACUCAUAAAGUGCCAAAAUGAAGAUAACAUACCUUUUGGUUCAUACGGUUAAAAAACGCCUGAGAUGCACACUAGUCCAAAUUUUUUGGCCAAAUUUUUUGGUAUGUGUUUUAUUAGAACGUCAGUCCGGUUUGUUAAAGUCUAACGUUUAAGUGUUAAACGUCCAAAGUAAAACAAACUGAAAACAAACGAGUAGCCAUAAGGAGGACACAUAGUAUAUAGAUAGCUCUUACAAGUUUACUAUUACAACAAAAUUGUACAAAAAGGACUGAUAUGUAUGUGAUUGGACCUAACAAAAACCGUUAUCCAAGAGUUGGGAAGACUUUCAAAAGACUUGUAAUAACAGCUAAUAGGCAUUCCUACUUUUAUAUAGAAGAAAGAACGUCUUUUAUAGUAACAGAGACAAAAAGAAGUAUAUGAACUUCACGAUUAAGUGCGGGAAGUUGAUUAACUAUCUAGACAGCUUACAUGUAGUAGGCACGAAGUCCGGAAUUAAUACAAGUUUCUCGAAAUGGGUCCCAUGGCGUUUCUUCUCUAUCCUUUUACAUAAUUUUUACGAAGGUUCAAGUAACUCCUGUUCGUUUCUUUCCUACCGAGUACCAAACCGUGAACCCCAUAUACAAAGUGAAUACCCUGCAAGAAACCACAUUUUCCUAACUAACGAAGACCUUCUUGAAUGCUUUUAUCAAGAAGGUAUUCCUUUCGUACGUUAAAAGACAACAGUUUCGUUGCUUCAUGUCCACCUACCCCUCUCAGCAUAGAAAGAUCACUUUGACUCCGAAUACACCUCCGGUGAUCAGGAGUACGACACUUGUGACGAACCCGUUACAACCGAAAUUAAAUACGACCCGUCCAACUUGCUCUAGGAUGCGGUGAUAUAGUACGACGUUUUCUCAACUAGUUAUACGUUGAUCUCUGCCCUCUCAAAGGGGUCGUUCUUGUGCAACCUACGAAGUUGACGAGGUAUAUGAAAUUAAUGCCGUUGAUAGCGUUGAAUAUGGGGUAAACCCGAGAACCUCUCAAAGCAGCAGCUGACGAACGCUUCUUGACUUUGACUACUGCUACUAUACAGUGAAGUGACGAAUCCAAAUCCACACCAGCACGGACAUUGCUUUUCCUCCUGGAAUCGGUUUGAUAUAUAUACACACAUGGUGUAUGACGUUAUUGUGAAUGUUGGUUUCACUCAUUACGUUUGUAUUAUCGCGGUCAUACCAAACAUGUAGAUACAAAACCUGACGUUACCGUACAGUUAAUGAAACGAGGCACACCAUAGUUCUAAAAUUAGUGCCGGGUUUGA